rnacentral:rRNA from 1 species
GACAUCUCGGAUCAGGUAGGGAUACCCGCUGAACUUAAGCAUAUCAAUAAGCGGAGGA